GCACUUUUAUUUUGUACGUUAAGCUUUGUCUAAUCUCCUUAUGAGAUUUAAACAUUUUGAUUUUGUUCCUAGGCUGACUCCAUUUGUAGUUUUUUUUCUACUACCUACCCGACGUGGUUUUGCACAACAAAUCUAGGAUUUUCGUCGUUUAAAACGGUCAGAGUUAGCAGAACGACAUUUAUAUCUUAAUAACGACAAACUUAAAACUCAUAACUUCCUUAAGAAUAGUUUUCGCAUAAAAAUUCAAAAUCAGUGUCGAAAAACACAAAUAAGAAAAAAAUUAAAGGUGCCAGGUAAACUAGAUUUGUUCUUAUAUUUG